rnacentral:misc_RNA from 1 species
CGCUCAAAAUUUUUUACUGAAACCAUAAUAAUGAGGUGGAUACGGGGCUGUACAUUGGAAAUGGAUAUUAGUUCUGCUGGCCACAGUAGACAUAACCAACCAUAGCCAAAGCAAUACGCUACAGGAUAAUAUGUUUAGAGCUCAACUAAGUUGAGAUAUAUCAAAAACAUCUGGAAAUUUGAAAGUGUCAGCCGCUCCAAACUUCCUUCGUUCUUCCCAAUCUUCAGCAGAUUCAUCUUCUUCAUCAGUAUUGUCCUCUUCAUCAUCAUGACCAUUGAU